rnacentral:lncRNA from 1 species
UUCAGAAACACCUGGACCACGGGAUGGCCAUGUCUGGAAAACGUGCCAGGUGCACCUGGCCUACCUGAUGGACAUGCCUGAACAACCUGCUGGACAUGCCCGAACUAUCUGCCGGACAUAAUGAAAUGAUCCACUGUAAACACCAGAACCGCCCAGCAGACAUGACAGAACCACCUUCUGGUCUCGCCCCAGCCACAUGCUGGACACUCUGGAACCACCAGCCGGACAAGAUGGAACCUCCUGCCGGAUAUGCCUUAACCACUGGAGGGACAAUCUGGAACCACCUGCCUGGCACGCAGGAUCCACCUGCCAGAUAUGCCAGAACCAGGUGCUGGACUCGCCAGAACCACCUGCAGGACUGGAGGGAACCACCACCCGGACAUGCCGGAACCACCUGCUGGACAACCCUUAACCACCAGCCAGACAUGCUGGAACCACAGACCAGAUAUGCAGGAAGGUCAUGCUAGACACAGCAGAGCCACCUGCCAUACCUACCUGGACCACCUGCCACACACGCCUGAAGAACCUACUAAACACUUCCGAACUGCCUCCAGACAAACCCAAACCACCAUUCUGACAUGUCAGAAACACGUUUCAGAAAUGCCUGGACCACGGGACUGCCACGCCUGUAGCAGGUGCCAGAAGCACCUGCAUCACCUGACGGGCAUGCCUGAACAAUCUGCCAGACAUGCCAGAACCACCUGAUGGACAUGCGAGAACCACUUCCCUGAGAUGAUGGAACCACUUUUCUGACAAGCAGGAACCAUGCCCCGGACACACAGUAACCACAUGCAGGACAUAAUGAUCCACCAGCUGGACACAACUGAUCCACCCACCAAACGCAGCUGAAUCACCCACGGGACACACCAGAAUCACCUGCCAGACAUGAUGGAACCACCUUCCGGACAUGCUGGAACCACUCAUUGGACACACUGGAACUACCCACUGGACAUGAUGGAAUCACCUUCUGGGCAUGCCAGAACCACCUGACUGACAUGCAGGAACUAACUGACUGAGACACCAGAAUCACCCGCCAGUCAUGCCAGAACCUCCUGCGGGACACACCACAACCCCCUGCCAGUUACAGCAGAACCAGCUGGCAGGAACACCAGAACUGGCAGAUGGACAAGCCUGAACAACCUGCCGGAGCAGCCCGAAUCACCCACCGGACAUGACUGAACCACCUGCCAGACAUGCCAGAACCACAUGCUUGACUCGCCAGAACAACUUACUGGACGUGCUGAAAUCACCUGACGGAUACUCCAGAACCAGGCCACUUAUAUGCAGGAACCACAUGCAGGACAAGCUGGAAUGACCCGACGGGCAGCCUGAACCACAACUCAGACACACCGGAACCACCCACCAGACACACCAGAGUCAGGCCCGGGACACAGCACAACCAACUGCAGGACAUGUAGGAAUCACCUGUAGGACACACCGGAACCACCUUAAGAAAAUACUGGAACCACGUGCCAGACACACAGGAACCACCUGCCAGACACCAUGGAACCAACUGUCAGAUACGCUGGAACCAGGCACCUGAUACGCUGAAACCACCUGCUGAAUACACCAGGACCAUGUGCCAGACACGCCGGAAGCAUGUGAUGGAUACACCAGAAACAGGUCCAGCACAGGCCAGAACCAGGUGCAGGACAUGCCUGAAACACCUGCUGGACACACCUGAACCACCUGCUAGACCAGCCUAAACCACUUUACGGACAAUCCAGAACCACAUGCUGGGCACACCAGAACCAGGUGGCCAACACACCAGAACCACCUGCUGGACACGCCUGAACCACCAGCCAGUCUUGUAAGAACCACCUGACAGAUGCACCAGAAACACCUGCCAGAUACGCCAGAAACAGGUGUCGCACAUGCCAAAACCAGGUGCCAGACAUGAUUAAACCACUUGCAAGACACGCCAGAACCAGGUGCCCCACACGACUGAAUCACCUGAGGGACAAGACUGAACCAUCUGCCAGAGAGGCCUGCACCACCUGCCAGACAUGCCGAAACCACUUUCUGGACUGUCUGUUGCAGAUGCCAGAACCGCCCACUGGACAUGGGUGAACCAGCUGCCUGCCACGAUGGAACGAACUGCCGGAAUCUUGGAACCACCAAUGGGACACUCUGGAACCACCCACCAGAGACUCGAGAAUCAGGGCCAGGACACGCCAGAAGUACCCACAGGACACACUGGAAGCACCUGACUGACAUGCAGGAACCACCUUCUGGACACGAUGGAACCAUGACUAUGGCACUCCAGAACCAACUCCUGGACAUGCCGGAAGCACCCAACGGACACGCCGGAACCAUCUUCCAAACAUAGAAGAACCACAUGCCAGACACACAGGAACCACCUGCCAGACACGUCAGAACCACCUGUUGGAUAUGCCGGAAUCAGGUGCCAGAUACACUGAAACCACCUGCUGAAUACACCAGAACCAGGUGCCGGACACGCCACAAACACCUGCCAGACAAGCCAGAACCACCAGCCUAACAUGCCAGAACAACCUGCUGGACACGCCAAAAUCACCUGUAGUUCCGGCGUGUCCAGCACGUGGUCCUGGCAUAUCUGAGAGGUGGUUCCGGCAUGCCAGGCAUGUGAUUUCAGAGUGUCCGUGAAGUGGUUCUGGCGUAUCUGGCAGGUGAUUUCGGUGCUCUGUCGUGUCCAGGACCUGGUUUUGGCAUGUGCAACACCUGUUUCUGGUGUAUCCAGGAGGUGGUUCUCACAAGAUUGGCAGGUGGUUCAGGCUGGUCUAGCAGGUGGUCCUGGCGUGUCGGGCACCUGGUUCCAGUGUGCCUGGCAUGUGGUUCCGGAUUGUCCAUCAAGUGGUUCAGGCUGGUCUAGCAGGUGAUUCAGGUGUGUGUGGCAGCUGUUUCAGGCAUGUCCGGCACCUGGUUCUGGCCUGUGCCAGACCUGUUUCUGGUGUAUCCAUCACAUGGUUUAGGAGUGUCCAGCACAUGGUUCUGGCAUAUUCGGCAGUUGGCUUCAGUAUCCUGGGCGCCUGGUUCUGGCGUAUCUGACAGUUGGUUCCGUGGUGUCUGGCAGUUGGUUCCCGUGUGUCUUGUGUGUGUGUUUCCAGUACAUUCUUAAGGUGGUUCUUGCGUGUCUGGCUGGUGGCUACUGUGUAUCCGGGACCUGAUUCCGGCGUGUCCAGUUGGUGCUUUCAGAGUGUCUUGGUGUUGGUUCCGGCGUGUCUGGCAGUUGGUUCCCACAUGUCCGGUGGGUGAUUCUGGCAUGUCUGGCAGGUUGUUCUGGCCUUUGACAGAAAUUGGUUCUGGCAUAUCCAGGACCUGGUUCUGGUGUAUCCGGCAGGUGAUUUUGGCGUGUCUGGCAGGUGGUUCCGGUGAGUCAAGCAGGUGGUUCUGGCGUGUUUGGCAGGUGGUUCAGGCGUGCACAGCAGGUGGUUUAAGUCUGUCCAGGAAGUGGUUCCGGCAUGUCUGGCACAUGGUUCUGGCUUAUUUGGCAGGUGGCUUCAGCGUACCACGUGCCUGGUUCCGGCAUAUCUGACAGUUGGUUCCAUGGGGUCUGGCAUGUGUUUCUGGUACAUUCUUAAGGUGGUUCCUGCAUGUCCGGCAGAUGCUUCAGUCUUGUCUGGCAGUUGGAUCAGUCAUGUGGGACACCUGGUUCUGGCGUGUGCUGCGCCUGUUUCUGGCGUAUCUGGCAGGUGGCGCUGGCGUGUCCGGCAGGUGGUUCCAUUAUGUCUGGCACAUGGUUCCUGGGUAUCAUGCAGGUGAUUUUGACGCGUCCUGUGGGUUGUCCCAGCGUGUCCAACACCUGGUUCUGGCAUGUCCAGGAGGUAGUUUUAGCGAAUCAGGCACCUGGUUCCAGCGUAUCCAACAGGUGGUCCUGGCAUGUCUGGUAGGUGAUUCUGGUGUGUGCGGCACAUGGUUGCGGUGUAUCUGGCAGGUGAUUUCAAUGCGUCCAGCAGGUGUUUCCAGCAUAUCUGGCACCUGGUUCUGUCAUGUUUUGCAGGUUUUUCAUUCAUUACCUGCACCUGUUUUUGGCGUGUGCAAUACCUGUUUCUGGAUUAUACUUCAGGUAGUCCCAGUGUGCCCAGCAGGUGGUUCUUGCAAGUCUGGCAUGUGGCUCAGGCACAUCCAGCAGGUGGUUCUGGCGUGUUGGACACCUGGUUCCAGCAUUUCUGGCAGGUGGUUCCCGACCAUUCAGCAGGAGGUUGCACCAUGUCCCCUACCUGAUUGCGACGUGUGUUUUGCGUGGUUCUGGUGUGUCUCUGUAGUGCCUCCAGUGUGUCCUGCAGGUGGUUCCGGCACAUGUGGUCAGUUUUCCCGGCGUAUAAGGAGAUUGGUUCCAGCCGUCAGUCGAGUCUGGCUGUUGGUUGCAGCUUAUCCAGGGGUGGUUCUGGCAUCUCCACAAGGUGGUUCCAGUGUGUCCAGCAGGUGAUUCCAACAUGUCUUGUGGGUGGUUACGGCACAUAACCCCAGGCCAGAUAUAAUUAAAUGAUACGUUGGAUAUGCCAAACCACUUGCUGGAAACACCCAGACCACCUGCUGGACACUCCCAAAGCACUUCCCGGAGAGGAGCAAAUCAGAUGUCUGGCACACCCAAACCAUCUUUUGGGCACAUCAGAACCAUAUUUCAGAAAUGCCUGGAGAGGUCGGCCAUGCCAUGUGCCAUGCCAUGUGCCAGGUGCACCUGGACCAGCUGACUAACAGGCCUGAACAUCUUGCCAGACUUGCCAAACUACCCUCUGGCCAUACCGCAACCAUCCACCAGAAACGCCUGAACCACCUGCCUGACACGCUGGAACCAACUGCUGGAAACAUGGGAGCCACCACCUGCAAACUCUGGAACCAACCCCAGAGAAGCAAGAAUCGGGUCCCGAACAUGCUGGAAGCACCUGCCGGACAUGGUGGGACAACCUGCAUGAACUGCCAGAAUCACCCACCGAACACAAUGGAACCACCUUCCUGACACGCCAGAAGAACCUGUCUGACACGCUGGAACCACCUGCCAGGCACGAUGGAAUCACAUUUUGGACAUGCUGGAACCACCCUAGGACAUGCUGCAACAAACCGCCAGAGAUGACUGAUCUACCUGCUGGACAGAACUGAUCCACCUGUCAACCAUGGCUGAACCAGCAGCUGGACACAGCAGAAACACCUGCCUGACACCCCAGAACCACCUUCCUGACAAGCUGGAACCACAGGUCGGAUACAGCAGAAGUAGGUGCCAGACAAUGCAAAUGCACCUGCCAGAUAUGCCAGAACCAGGUGCCAGACAUACCAGAACCACCCUCCAGACAUGCCAGAGCUAACUGCCAGACAUGCCGGAAGCACCCACCGGACACGCCAGAACCACCUUUCGAACAUAACAGAACCACAUGCCAGAUACACCUGCCCCACCUGCCAGACAUGCCUGAACCACCUGUUGGGUAUGCCAGAACCAGGUGCCGGACACACCAGAACCACAUGCCGAACAAUCUGGAACCGCCUGCCAGACACGCCAAAACAACCUGCUGGACAUGCUGAAUUCACCUGCCACACAUGCUGGAAUCAUCACCCAAACAUGCCAAAACCACCAUCUGACAUGAUGGAAUCAGGUCCUGGACACGACAUAGCCAGAUUCAGGGCACACCGGAAUCACAUGCCAGACAUGUGGGCACCAACUGCUGGACACCCCGGAAGCACUCACCUGACACAUUGGAACCACCUUCCAGACGUACCGGAAACUCAUGCCAGACACUCAGGAACCCCCUGCCUGACAUGCUGGCACCACCUGAAUGACACGCCAGUACUACUGGCAGGGCAUGCCAGAACCACCUGCCGGACAAAGAUGAACUACCUGCCAGACAAGACUGAACCACCUGCCAGAUAUUCCUGAAUCACUUGACAGAUAAUCUGGAACCACAUGCUGGGCAUGCAAGAACCACAUGUCAGAUAUGCCAGUACCAGGUGCUGGACGCCCCAAAACCACCUUCACGACAGGCCUGAACCACCUUCUGGACAGGCCUGAACCACCUGCUGGACAUGCGCAACCAUCUGGUGACUUGCCGGAACAACCUGCCAGACACACCAAAAUCCCUUCCUGGAUACACCAGAAGCACGCCAUUAUAUGCCGGAACAACCCAACAGACAUCCCAGAAUCAACUGCCGGACACUCCAGAAGCACCCACUGGACACGCCGGAGCCACCUUCUGAACAUACCGGAAUCACAUGCCAGACACCUGCCACACAUGCCAGAACCACCUGUUCUAUAUGCGGGAACCAGAUGGCAAAUACACUGAAACCACCUGCCAAAUACACCAGAACCAGGUGCCGGACAUGGCAGAUACACCUGCCUGAAAUGUACAAAUCAGCUGUCAGUUAAGCUGAAACCCUGUGUCGGACAUGCCGAAACCAUCUGCCGGAUACGCCAGAAACAGGUCCAGCACAGGCCGGACCCCGGUGCCGGGCAAGCCUGGAGCUGCUGCAGGACUAGCCUGAACCAUCUGCUAGACCACCCUGAACCACUUUACGGACAUUCCAGAACCACAUGCCGGGCAUGCCAGAACAAGCUGCCUGACACACCAGAACACACUUCCACACAGGCCGGAAAAGCCUGUGGCACAUGCCUAAAUCACCAACCAGACACACAAGAACCACCUCCCAGACAUGCCAAAACCACCACCUGAAAUGAGGGAAUCAGGUCCUGAACACACUGUAGUCACCUGCCUGAUACCACGCAAACACCUGCCAGACACACCAGGACAACCUGUCGGAUACGGCAGAACCAUGGCCAGACACCCUGAAACCACUUGCCAGAGAUGGCAGAACUAGGUGCCAGACACGCCAUAACCACCUGCCAGACAGGCCAGAACAACCUGCCAGACACACCAAAAUCACCUGCUGGAUACGCCAGAACCAGGUCCUGAAUACACCAGAAGCAACUUCCACAGAGUCUGGAAAAACCUGCUGCACAUGCUGAAAUCACCUGCCGGACACGCCGGAACCACCACCUAGACAUGCAAAGACCACUACCCAACAUACAGAAUCAGGUCCUGGACACACUGGAAUCACCCUCUGGACAUGCAGGAACCAAAAGCCGGACAACCUGGAAGCACCCACCUGACACAUCACAACCACCUUCCAAAAAUACCGGAAACUCAUGCCUGACACACAGGAACCCCAAGCCUGACACACUGGAACCACCUGAGUGACACGCCAGUACCACUGGCAGGACAUGCCAGAACCACCUGCCAAACAAGCUGAACCACCUGCCAGAUACGCAUGAACCACUUGAUGGACAAUGUGGAACCACAUGCCGGGAAUGCAGGAACCACAUGUCAGAUAUGCCAGAACCUGGUGCUGGAAGUGCUGAAACCACCUUCUGGACAGGCCUGAACCCACCUGCUGGACACGCAUGAAUGACCUGCCUGGGCACACCGCAACCACCUGCUUGACUUGCUGGAACCAUCAGCCAGAUAGGCCAAAAUAAUCUGCCAGAUAUGCUGGAACCAGGCCCCUAGAUGCCAGAACAACCCAACAGACAUGCCAGAACCACCCGUCGGACACACUGGUACCACCACUCAGACACGCCAGAACCACCCUCCAGACAUGCCAGAGCUAACUGCCAGACACGCCAGAAGCACCCACCGGACACGCCAGAACCACCUUCCGAACAUAACAGAACCAUAUGCCAGAUACCCCUGCACCACAUGCCAGACAUGCCAGAACCACCUGUUGGAUAUGCCUGAACCAGGUGCCAGGUACACUGAAACCACCUGCCGAAUAUGCCAGAAACAGGUGCUGGACAUGGCAGAACCUGGUGCCCUAAGUGCAGAGCCACCUGCUGGACACAACUGAACCACCUGCCAGACUUGUGCGAACCACCUGAUGGACAUGCUGGAAUCACCUGCUAGAUAUGCUAGAAAAAGGUGUCACACACGCCGAAACCAGGUACCGGACAUGAGUGAACAACCUGCCAGACACGCUGGAGCCAUCUGACGGAUAUGCCAGAAACAGGUGUCACACAUGCUGAAAGCAGGUGCUGCACACGACUGAACCAAGUGACGGAACAGCCUGAACCACCUGCUCGACACACUGUAACCAACUUCAGGAUGCACUGGAACCAUCUGCUAAACAUGCCGGAAGCACCUGCUGAGCACGCUGGAACCAGGUGCUAGACACACUGGAACUGCCUACUGGACAUGCCAGAAACACAGGCAAGACACAAUUGAAGGACACACCAGACAUGCCGAACCACUUGCCAGAAACAAAACCCGCGUACCCACCUGCCGGACACCCCCAAACACCCCUGAAUAGGACUGAAUCAGAUGCCGGACAUGCCCAAACAACAUUUCGGACACUAAGAACCAUGUUUCAGAAAUGUGUGGAACACAGGAUGGCCAUGCCAGGACCAAGUGCCAGAUGCAACUGGACCACCUGACAGACAUGCUUAAACAACCUGCCAGACACACUGGAACUACCCACCAGACAUACUGGUACCAUCCACCAGAAAAACCUGAACUACCUGCCUGACACACUGGAACCAACUGCUGGGCACGUUGGAACCACCACCCAGACACUCUGGAACCAUGCACUGGAGAUGCCAGAAUCAGGUCCUGGACAUGCUGGUACCACCUGCAGGAACUGGCAGAAUCAGCUGCUGGACACGGUGGACCCACCUUCUGAAACGCCAGAACCAUCUGCUGGACACAACAGAACCACCUUCUUGACACACUGGAACCACCCCUGGAUAUGCUCGCAACCAACCACUGGACAUGACUGAUCCACUUGCCGGACAGCACUGAUCCACCUGGCAAACACGGCUCAACCACCAACCGGACACACCGAACCACCUGCCUGACACCC